rnacentral:SRP_RNA from 2 species
GCCGGGCGUGGUGGUGCACGCCUGUAGUCUCAGCUACUUGGGAGGCUGAGGCAGGAGAAUUGCUUGAACCUGGGAGGUGGAGGUUGCAGUGAGCCGAGAUUGCACCACUGCACUCCAGCCUGGGUGACAGAGCGAGACUCUGUCUCAA